AGAAGCGCGUGCAUUUCUCAGUCCAUUUGAAAGUGGGGCUUAUUCCGUUGUCUCUAAUUUUCUCAUUUUCUGGCAAUCUCAGGACAGAAUGCCUCUGAUUCCCCCUGGGAGGUGGACGGGUUAAUGAUGUUUGAGGAUUUUGAAUGGGGCCAAAGUUACAUGAGAAGUUUUCUUUUUUUUUUUUCCUUAAUGCUGAGAAAAAUUUUAAAUGUCUAAAAUAGUGGGCUCUUACCUCCAUUGUUUGCACAUUUUUGCUUAUUUAAGUGGCCAUGAAAUUUUCACUGAGGAUACCCCAAAGACCUGUGAUUCUAAGGUACUGGCUUCACUUUUCACUUGAGUCUUCUGGCUUGUCUUGUUUUGAAUUUUAUCAACCGACCAGCAAGGAUUGGUGGACAGGGGGGGAUGGGAAGGGCUGCAGGUGCACCCAGAGAAGGAGGGACUGGUAGCCACAAGAGAAGGGCAGAGGGAAGAGACAGCCUGGAGCUUAACUCGUCACGGUCUCCCCGGAGGAGAAUGAUUGCCGUCCUGCAGUGAGAGCACCAGCAGGAAAGACCAGCCCUCCUUUGGUGGUCACCGUGUGCCAGGCACCGUGCUGUGCCCUUGCGUUCACGAUGCCCUGGAUCCGUAUGGCCUCGUGAAACACACGUUUCAGUCCCAUUUGACAGAGGAUGACACCGAGACUUAAGGAUCUCGCAGCUGCUAACAGGCAGAGCUGGGAUUUGAACCCAAGUCCAAGAGUUCUUGCCCCCGCUACACAAAAGGAGACCGUGCAGUUAUAUGCCAGGUUGACCAGGGGGCUAGUUCAGGGGAUUAGAGAAUGAAUGCUGUGGGCAGGACAUGCAGAUGUAGCUGUGAUAAAGUUAGUAAAGGUCCAGCCACAUGCAAUACUGUGCAAUGGAGGGUUGGGUCAUGAAGGGACGUGGAGGACAGAGAACAUUUUCAUUGUUUCCUGAGUGUUGUUUCUGGGACCAGAGAACUCUGUGCCUAGACACUUAAAUCCAAUUCCUUUUUUUUUUAAUUAAACAAACUUUUUAAAUGUUUAUUUUGAGAGAAGGAGAGAGAAUGAACGGAGGGAGAGCAGAGAGAGAGAGGGUCCCAAGCAGGCUCCACGCUGUCCAUGAACAGCCCAAUGCGGGGCUUGAACUCACAAACUGAGAUUGUGACCUGAGCUGAAAUCAAGAGUUAGAUGCUUAACCAACUGAACUACCCAGGCACCCAACUCCCAAUUCCUUAAUAGGCAGGAUUUCCUUUUCCUUAAAAUUUGGAACAUCCUGAAGGGGAGAGUUGGUCAGGAUUAGGGGGGACAAAGUGGUUACAUUCUUUUCAGCCUGAGUGUUCAUUAGGAGUUAAGAACAUCUUAAUCACCUGCAUUUCCAGCCUCUGGCCUGUGGUUGGCGCUUGGGAUAGGUACCAGCCUCAAGAGGGGCCCUAGUGAUCCACGUUGUCCUAUGUGGUCCCGUCACCCUGAAUUGGGGCUGGCGUGGCGUGGCCAAUGGAGUAGGGGAGGAGUGAGGGGUGAUGUGUGACUUCUCAGGCUAGGCCAGGAAAGGUAUUGUGCCUCCUUCUUUGGCUCAGGGUGCAGCUAGCUUGCCUGCCCUGCUUGAGGGUGCUCCCACAGCCCUGUGGCGAGGAGCUGAGCUUUGUGGCCAGUAGCCCAUCCAGUCUCACAGCCACGUGCGCGAGGCACCUUGGACGUGACCCUCCAGCCCUAGACAAGCCUUUGGAUGAUGCAGCCCCAGCCGACAUCUGACUGCUGCCCCUUCAGAGGCCCCAGAUUGAAUACUGCCCAGCCGAGCUCUUCCCAAAUCCUGCCCCACAGAGUCUGUGAAGACCGUACAUAAUCAUGUAUUUGGCCUCUACGUUUUGGGGUAAUGUGUUGUGCAGUGCGUGUGUACUGGUCCACGCUUUUUUGGUGUCACGUAAUAGAAACCCAGCUCCAACUAGCUUAAGCAAAACGGUCCAUUUCACUCAUCAUGUAAUUUAGAGAUCCAGGCUUCACGUACAGCUGGAUCCAGGGUCUGUCUUAGUCUCCUGACUCUGCUUCCUGUUACGUGUUGACCUUGUUGUUUCCUCCACCAAGGCGCUAUGGGCAGCUCUCCAUGACUGGCUCUGAGAGACCACUUUAUACAAACCAACAGACGUUUAAAGCAGGCCCAGGUGUGCUUGCUCAGUCACUGCUCUCCCGGAGUGGAGUGUGGGAAACCAGUCUUUGACUUCUGUCAGUCUGUUGUGCUCCUAUGGAAGACAGUCACCUGGCAGUGUUAGGCCUUAACAUCCCGAUUUGUAGGCCUGAUGGAAAGAGAACUUCAUCUUGAGGCAACACGUGUCAGUCCUGGGAAAGGGGCAAAGUGCAGAAUGGCUGGGGCCCCACCAGACCCGAGCCACACCUACAUCACGCCAUUGGUAGCUGCCAUGAUGAGGGAUUCUCAGUUUCCUAAAGAAGCAGGUGGUGGCGAGCUGUCAGUUCCACUUUCUUUAAAACUUGAUGACAAGGCCUGCUUGAAGUCACCUGCCAUUUUGGGCUUUAUCUUUUCAUUAGCAAUGUGACCAAGACCUUAUGGACCUUAUGACAUGUCUAGAGAAGGAAGAAACUAAUCUGUCUGUGAGCCUACUAUUUGCUAGGGCCAGGAGUCGCCUUUCCAGCCCUGGAACUUGGUGGAACAGGGAAAGAGAGAGAGACAACACGAGCUGGGGAGGGGCAGAGAGAGAGGGAGACACAGAAUCCGAAGAGGCUCCAGGCUCUGAACUGUCAGCACAGAACCCGAUGCAGGGCUCGAACUCAUGAACUGUGAGGUCAUGACCUGAGCCGAAGUCAGAUGCUCAACCGACUGAGCCACCCAGGUGCCCCUAAAAAUGCUUCUUUGUACACCUGCAAGAAUGCCUUACCUCAGUGAUGACUGAUACUCAGUUACAGCAGCAAAGAACUGUUCACAUAAGAAGAUGAGGUCUAAGAUUUGUAUUGGUUGAGGGACAGGGGUCAGCAAACCAUGGCCCUUGGGCCAAAUCUGGUCUGUCAUCUGUGUUUGGAAAUAAAGUGUAAUGGGAACACA